GCUGGGUGUGGUGGUGCAUGCCUGUAAUCCCAGCUACUUGGGAGGCUGAGGCAGGAGAAUCGCUUGCACCCAGGAGGUAGAGGUUGCAGUGAGCCAAGAUCAUGCCACUGCACUCCAGCCUGGGUGACAGAGGGAGACUCUGUCUCAA
ensembl:misc_RNA Metazoa_SRP Metazoan signal recognition particle RNA